rnacentral:sRNA from 1 species
AGUUGAGCGCAGCGAAACAACGGAGCCGCUCGCGGCGACGACCCGAAGGGCGAGCGAAGCGAGUCAUCCUGCACGACCCACCA